GAUGAACGCUGGCGGCGUGCUUAACACAUGCAAGUCGAACGAAGCAUUUAAGACAGAUUACCUCGGUCGGUAGCCUUUGAUGAGUGAGUGACGGACGGGUGAGUAACGCGUGGGAAACGUGCCUCAUCCAGGGGGCUAGCAGCUGGAAACGGCUGGUAAUACCGCAUAAGCGCACAGUACCACAUGGUACAGUGCGAAAAUCUCUGGUGGUAUCAGAUGGACCCGCGCCUGAUGAGCUGGUAGGCGUGGUAACGGCCCACCAAGGCGACGAGCAGUAGCCGGCCUGAGAGAGUGGCCCGCCACACUUGCACUGGGACCCGGUCCAGACUCCUACGCGAGGCAGCAGUGGGGAAUAUUGCACCAUGGAGGAAACGCUGAUGCAGCGACGCCGCGUGAGUGAAGAAGUAGUUCGCUAUGUAAAGCUCUAUCAGCAGGGAAGAUAGUGACGGUACCUGACUAAGAAGCUCCGGCUAACUACGUG
rnacentral:rRNA from 1 species